CUCCGCUUCCAGCGUCCCCCAGAACGCGGAGAGGCAGCCUGAGUCUUACUCUCCCACCACAUCAAUUCCCAGCACCGUGGGCCCCGGGGCCACUUUAUUUUUUGUAUUUUUUUGAGAUGGGGUGUCUCUGUCGCCCAGGCUGGAGUCCGGUGGUGCGAUCUCGGCUCACUGCAACCUCCGCCUCCCGGGUUCACACCAUUCUCCUGCCUCAGCCUCCGGAGUAGCUGGGGUUACAGGCCCCCAGUCCACUUUCUUGGAGUCUGCUGUGUCUGACCAAAAAGCCCAUCUUCGCCACAUCUAAAGCUGGAAGUUCAUUUGCCAGCGUUGUUUAGAGCAAAAAGGUGAGAAAAGUAGCUUAAAGUAUAAGACAAUUUCUGGGGGCGGCCAUAGAUGGCCAUUUUACAUAUCAUAUCUGGUUCUUAAAUUUGUACCAGAAUGAAUAUUUGACGUGAAUGGAUAUUUGUAAAAGAUUAUACAUUCAAAGUUAUAAACUACUAAUCCCAUAAUUUGGUUUCGGAAGUCUGUUUCAGCAAAUGAUUUGUACUAUUUGAAAAUACAUAUUAUUUAAAUUGGCUAAAAAUAUUUUCAUAUUGGUUACUAAAACUACUUUAAUUAUUACGGUGGAAAGGCACCCAUGUGUAAAACAAGAGACUUUGCCUGUUCUUCCAACAUAAUGUGCAUUAUAAACACUCCAUCUGUCAGGUGCUUGCUGUUUAAUGUACUAUCAAGGUCUUUGUUUUGUUGACAAUUAUUCUAAUCACUAAAAUCCUGUUUUGAAUCAGAUGGAAUAUUUGUUCAUUACCCCAGAGUUCUAUUUGCCUGCGUACCUUUUCAAUUCUUUUCCUAAGAGGACUAAAGCUAUUUCUGUGAGAAGCUCAGCACUGAAUAACUUUAAGAUAAGAAAUCCGAUAAACUAUCCAUCCAAAAACUGUCACAUUGGGCUUUAUUAAUGUGUAGCAUUAUACGCAAGGAAGUCUCUGUGCUUUCCUCCACCUCUAAGAUGCGUGGAAUGUUUAUCGAAGGCCUUGCAAUUGUGUUCUAACAAUUGUGUCUAGUUUUAAAGAUUCAUUUUCACACACUGAGAUCCUUGACCAUUAUAAUUGCAUUCCAUAUCUCUGAAGAGUGCCAGAUUCAUAAUAGAAUAGGGAAGUGUGUCUAGAGGCAUGCCCUAAAAAACAAUGGGAGACAGCGCAGAAACAAUGCCCUUCUCAUGCUGCUUCCUAAGCCUAACUGCUUUAUAAUCAGGAGCAUGACAAAAAUCGUACGAAGAAUUGAAAAAUUGACUUGAUACCUA
rnacentral:lncRNA from 10 species